AGCAGCCGCGGUAAUUCCAGCUCCAAUAGCGUAUAUUAAAGUUGUUGCAGUUAAAAAGCUCGUAGUUGAAUUUCGGGAUCGAAUUGUUGGUCGUGCCUCGGUACGCACUGGCAUUAUCGGUUCCUACCUUCUGAAGAACCGCGAUGUCAUUAAUUUGGUGUCGUGGGGAAUCAGGACUGUUACUUUGAAAAAAUUAGAGUGUUUAAAGCAGGCUUACGCUUGAAUACAUUAGCAUGGAAUAAUGAAAUAGGACGUUUGAUUCUAUUUUGUUGGCUUCUAGGAUCGACGUAAUGAUUAAUAGGGAUAGUUGGGGGCAUUAGUAUUCAAUUGUCAGAGGUGAAAUUCUUGGAUUUAUUGAAGACUAACUACUGCGAAAGCAUUUGCCAAGGAUGUUUUCAUUAAUCAAGAACGAAAGUUAGGGGAUCGAAGACGAUCAGAUACCGUCGUAGUCUUAACCAUAAACUAUGCCGACUAGGGAUCGGAUGAUGUUAAUUUUAUAAUGACUC
rnacentral:rRNA from 1 species